rnacentral:misc_RNA from 1 species
UCUCUCUCUCUCUCUCUCUACCCCGUGAUUCUGCAAGAAACCCUUCUUCUGGCAAGCAUUGAUAUCUAUCUCUAAACCUCCAUAUCACUAAUCUCCUUUGCCCUUUGUCUGAGCAGUGAUGGCCGUUAUUCUGCUUGCAAUGCUGAUGUUGUUCAUGACUGGCCAUGCUAGCUGCACAUGGUGUGUUUGCAAGGAUAUGUCAGAUGCAGUCCUUCAAAAGACUUUGGACUAUGCUUGUGGAGCUGGGGCUGAUUGUAGUCCUAUCCAUUCAAAUGGUGCAUGUUACCAACCUAAUAGUGUCAAAGCCCAUUGCUCAUAUGCUGUUAAUAGCUAUUUCCAAAAGAAGGGCCAAGCUCAAGGCACUUGUGAUUUUGCUGGCACUGCUGCCGUUUCCGCAGCUGAUCCUAGUUCUAGUGGCUGUUCUUAUCCGGCGACCGUCAGGUAUAUUGCUAUUAUCUUGCUGCUAUUACUUCCUUGCGUUUCAAAUUUUAGUGAUUAAAAUGAUGUGGUGUCCGCCAGCGCAGAUCUGUCACUUUUCAGCAAAGGGAUUGAGGGGUGCUCUUAACCUUUUUUUUUUUCUUGUAAAUGGGGCACCCCUUCCUUGUUUAGGGCUAGGUGCCAAGACAAGACAGGCUUGGCUACUGGCUAUUAAUUAGUCGGCUUUCCCGAAACCAGCCAAUUAGUUUAUAAUUUUUUUUUUUAACUUGGAAGAACAUACUAUUGUUGGAAAAGUGAAUUUCUUGAUGGUAGCACUUUAUUCUUGGUCCCGUUACCCCCCCGGGGCUCCCACUUACAUUUUAAAAAUUUAGAAUAUUGGAUGUAGAAGAAGAAAUUUUAGGGCAUGGAUUUUAAAAUAUUGGAUGUGAAAAGGGUAAAGAAAUAAAGAAGUCAGUGAGUUCAUGGUAUCUGCUUUUGUGCUGAUUGAAGUUUGGCUGAACUACUUCAAGGUAGUUAGACCAAUGAAAUUAGUGUGUAAACAAAGUCUGGCUUGCCAAAUUUGGUGGAGACCUAGAACUGUUCAUAGUGGCUUGUGUAGAUUCCUCUCUCCAGCUCUUUGGCUUUACAAAGGGCAAAUUUUUUUAUUUAGGCGGGGUGGGUUCUUUUCUUUUAUCAAUAGGAGAAAGGGUUGCUUUGUGCCAGAAUUUUGGUUCUCUAUCAACUGUUUUCUUUCAGAUGAUGCUUUUAGAUGGUAAAAUGCAUGACACCCUUCUCUUUUCUCUCUCCUAUCACCUUUAGCUAGAUUCAAAAUGAGCUAUUUUUGUCAUUUUGACUCGUGUUGCAAUUGCAUGAUGAUUUUCUUGAUCAUUUGGCCAUUUGCUAGCUGGUGACGAGUUUCAAUGUCGUAAAAAGAUGCUGCAAUAAUUAGGAUCCCUUGCCUUUUAAUAAAGUUAAAAUUUUACUAGAAUGGAUAAUAUAAAGGAUGGCAUCUUAUGUAAAGACAAUGAUGGGUCUUACAAGCCAUGCUAUGCGACUACCUUUUGAGCUCCCUCUAAAAUUAUUCGAGAUAUUAAGAUUUUCUUAACACACUUUAUCUCUUCUGAUUGUUGAUCUUUACAUGAAAUUUGAAAUUUUCAAAAUAUUUAUUUAAAAAAUGUAAAUGAAAAGGCAUUACAAUGCCAUUUCUCGAGGAUGUGUCUUUUGUCAAAAAGGUAAAGCAGUGGUAAGGUAGGGCGGGAGGAGCAUGGCAGCAUGACUUUUUUGCUUUGAAGAAGUGUUUGCUGCCACUUUCGUUGUGGGGCAUUUUUGCCCAUGGUUACCUCAAAAGCCUUGGGAUGAAUGAUCUAGAGAUUUGAGCCAUCCUUUGAAUUUUGGAUGUCUCGAGAACUGUGCUGUGUGGUCCCACAAUCCUAAAGUUGUUUCUGCGUUUAUUGGAUCAUUAUUCUUAAGUCACUGUUCUGGGUGUUAUAAUCUUUAGUUAGGUAAAACACAAUUUUAUGUUGCUUGAACUCUAUGGUAAUUGGCAGCAUGGGCCAUCUUAUGGGUUGCCACUUUUUCAUGACAACCAGACACAGUUUAACAGUGAUUUGGGCUCUAUAUGCUUCAGUUAUGUCUUCAACAAUAUAUUUUCAUACUGUGCUAGUAACAAGCUGCAUAAAAUGGCUCAUUACUUCUUUUCUCUUGUCUAUUUCUCAUUGAUUUAAACAAUGAGAGUAGGAAAUCUUUGAAAUGUUACAACAUAAUUGCCCUUGUAUAGCUGAAGAGUUGCUUGCUACAGCUGCUU